GCCGGCGUGGCGGAAUAGGCAGACGCACAGGACUUAAAAUCCUGCGGUAGUAGUGAUACCGUCCCGGUUCGAUCCCGGGCGCCGGCA
rnacentral:tRNA from 1 species